GAAGGAGGCUCCAGGCUGUCAGCACAGAGCCCAAUGUGCUCUGACGCUUAACUGAGCCACCCAGGUGCCCCUCAGUGAAGUAUUUUUUAAUUAAGGUAUGUACAUUGUUUUUUAAGACACGAUGCUGUUAAAUACUUAAUAGGCUGCAGUAUAAUGUAAACAUAACUUCUGUGCAUGCUGGGAAACCAAAAAAAUUAAUUAGACUUAAUUUAUUGCAAUAUUCACUUUAUUGUAGUGAAUACAACUGAACCCACAAUACCUCUGAGGUAUUCCUGUAUAUAUAUCCAGCUGGGUCCCAAAAGCCUCUACCAAUUUUUUCCCAAAUAGCUUUGUGCAAGAGUGUUGGUUUCCCCACGUCCUCCCUAACACUGUGUAUUAUUAGUUUUGUUUCAUUUCGGGCAACUGGUUUUUCUGGACAACUUUUUGACUCCCUCUCUGCCAACAACCCACCCAGUUUUAGAGAUUUAAAAAUAACCAAAAGUGUCAAGAGAACCAACUAGCCUGGUCAGGAUGGGGGCAAAGAGAAGACCAGAAAUACAUUCUCCUACAAGCAGCCUUGCAACCAUCCAUGGACACUUCUGGCCUGAACUGACCACCUGCUUCAAAGAUCUGCCCGUUCCACGCCCGGAAGCGCACAGCCCGCUUGGCUGGGGUCUGCCCCGUGCCCUCCUGCCACACGGUCAUGUUAAGGCAGUGGAUGGUGAUGUGCUGUGUCACUUCCGAGCUUAGCAGGUGCAGAAAAUUCAUCUGGACCCGGCUGACAGCAAACUCGACCUGUGGCAGAAACACGGCAGUGAGUGCUGAGGAGCCCUAAGCCCCCACCCUGGACCCCAAUAAAAGCAGAACCCCAGGCCCCUGCACACACGCCUCUCUCCACCAGUGACCUGGCUGUGCGCCCCCGAUGUGCUGUGGGAUUUUCAGGUCCGCACCAGCCGGUCUGGAUGGCUGUAACCCUGUCACGAGGAGAGAAGGUGGUCACCGGCUCCUUGAGGUCCCGGCCCGGCCCAAGGCCUAAGCCUCUGCAGCCGCGAGUUCUUGUACUUGGGAGAUGAUGCGGCUCCCCCCACUUAACAGGAGGGGAUCUCUUGCAGGCAGGGGGCCCAGAGGUACCUCCGCUUUCAGUGCGCCAUUUGUGUCCAUCCACGUCUGGAAAGCUGCUCCAAGGUCAUCUUGCUGCUGUGCAAAGAGGAGACGGGGUGUGCAUCCUGUCCCCGCUCCUGGCCCCAAGACCUCCCCAGACUCACCAAGAGGGAGACCCAGGGUCUGAGCACGAGCUCUCCCAGCCACCUUCCCGGGUGGUAUCACGGCCAAGUCGCCUGCCUUCUGUGGAACUCUCUGUCUUUCCUCCACUUGCAAACGGAGUCAGAGCUGACCCUUCCACUCCCUUUCUCCAGGCCUUCCCUAGCUCUCCAUCACCCUCAGGAUUAAGUACAAACUCCUGCACGUGGUUACAAGACCUGGGCUGAGUGUUGUGGUCUCUGGCCCAGCCUCUCUUCUCUUGGUCACACAAACUCUGUGCACCAGACGCACUCUUGUGUUCCCAAAUCGCUAAGCACCAUGCUCUAUCUAGCCACGGGGCUUUUGCGCAUGCUGUUCCCAUCACCUGGAUCAUUCUUCUUACCCUCCAAUGCUCCAUCUGGCUAUCUCCUAAUCCAGUGGUUCUCAACUAGGGGCAGUGUUGCCCCCUGGGGGACAUUUGGCUAUAUCUAGAGACAUUCUUGGCUGUCACAACUGGAGGAGGGGUUGCUUCUGGCAUCUAGUGGGUAGAGGCCAGGCACGCUGCUAAACACCCUAAAAUCACUCGUAGCAAAGAAUCAUUUGUUGGUAAAGGCUGCAGUUGAGUAGCCCUGCCCUAGACUCAUCCUACAUGUCAGCUUCCUUGGGAAAUCCUUCAUCGGGCUCCCGCCCCCAGGCAGGGUGCGGUUCCUUUCUCUGUGUGUCGGCAGUGCCUGUGUUUCUCCUCUGGCUUGCACUGUAGCUGCCAACCACACACCUGUGCCUCCAACCCUAGCAUUGGACUUUCCAGAAGCACAGCAGCGGUCUUGCCGUGAGAACAGUGACAGGGAGAGCAGGACCGAGAGCAAAGCCCGAGAGGUCCAGAGCCCGGACUCUACAAGUAUUUCUCAAGUUCACAUCUCAGCCUUGCUGCUUGCUAACUGCAUGAUCUGGGCAGGUUGCUUACCAUCUCUCUACAUCAGGACCCUGAGAAUGGGCAUGAUUAUAAAACUCUCAGAACCUUGAGAGGAAAUCAGUGAGCUAAUCCAUGAAAAGCACAUCUAACGGUGUCUGCCUAUCACAAACACUCAAUAUAUCAGCUCUUAUGCAAAAAAAAAUUCAAAUUGCUUGAAUUUUCCAUUUUUAGAGGGAAAGGGUUCCCCCCUCCCCACCCCCACCCCCACCCCCCCAGAUCUCUUCACUUUCCCCUAGCUGUCUGGCUUCCUUAGAGAAGAGAAGGGCUGGGGUCGGUGCAGAGCGAGAGGUCAGAGCCAUCAGUUUAUUUUGGUGGAUGACGCUGGGGGGACGGACAGUGAGAUGCUGAGAGAUGAGAAGAGCAGAGCUCCGAGGGGCCUAGGGGCACGAGGGCUCCUGUUCCGUUCAGCCCUCCCCCUCAGCCAUUCCUGGGGACGCCGUCAGGGCCUGACUGUCACAGUCAGCCAGCACAGUGGUAACACGGGGAGGGACUCCUCGGAGGCCUUGGAUCAACACCAAUGGCCAAUGAUUUCAUCAAUCACGCUUAUGUAACGAAGCCUCCCUAAAACCCCAAAGGGAUGGCACACAGAGACCUUGACUUCUGGGGAGAGUGGCUACCCGGAGAGGGCAUGCGAGUCUGAGCCUCUGUCUCAUGCCUUGCCCUGUGCCUGUCUUCUAUCUGGCUAUUCCCGAGAGAUUUCCUUUUAUAAUAAACCGGUCAUCUAGUAAGUGAAA